UUUAAAAAAAUGGUUAACACAAUCGCUUCCGCUCCAUCCCCGACCCCGCGGCCCUAGGCGUGUCGCCGCCGCCGCCGCCAGUCCCUGGAACCUCUCGAUCACAACCUGUGUUGUCAUCAUUUCCACAUAUCCCCGAGAGAUCAGGCCUCGCCCGACGAUGCAGAUUAGUGACGCUGCAUCGCGACCGAUUGGAGUUCAUCCGCUGUCAUUCAGGCGUGGACUAAGGCAGACGUUCCACGACGAUUAAUGGCUGCCGGGGCUGAUGGUGGAAUUGUAGCCGCUCCUCCUCUUGCACACCAUGGAUUUGAUGCGGUUCCUCACGAUCCGGCAGUUCAUCACAUAUCUUCCUGCACCGCGGGGAUGAAGCAGCCGACGGGAAGCAGAGUAAGCCUGAGUCCUCCUCCUCGUGGAUCUCGUUCUUGACCUCGAUGAGAGGAGCAUCUUCAGCCUCGAUGCAGGUUUUUACUUCUCCAGCCAUGGUGCGACUCAGUUUGAUUGCUUUGAAGUUAUCUUGCACUUUAUAUUCCGGUAUAUUGGUUUACGGAAUUUUUCAGCUGACGAAAAACACGCUAUCGUUCUCAUGUAGCAGAGUCUCCGCCCAUACCGUCUAUGAUGUAUCCUCCAGUAUUGCUGAGUUGCUUUUAGAAGUACAACAUGCCAUAAAUUCCAAUCAGAUUUAUUAUAUCAUCCAUUUCAUUCUCUCUCGACUCCUUAGUACAUAAAAUGCAUGUACACCUCCACCUUAUGUGUAGAUGGAAGGAAAUCGGCCAGUUCAUGUUAAUUCCUUGGAGAUAACACACAUGAACAAACCCUCUGAUUAAUUGGGUCAUGAGUUUAUGGCGCAUAUCAGGUGGUUCACAGGGAACAUGAUGCAGCUAGAUGCAAUGACCUCCCGUGAAGCCUGCACCGUCUCCGUCUCGAUAUUUUCCUUGAUUUUUUUGGGAGGCAAACUGAUUGAAGUUCAUUAGAUUAACACUUACAUUUUUGCUGCGUGCUGUUAUGUGCAAAUGCCAUGUAAAUUUAAGAACAUGACCUCUAUGAUACGUUUUUUGUUGUUGUUGUCGGUAGUAGGUAAAAUUUCUCCAUCUCCUGUAACCUCUAUUUUCGCAUAUCCAUGGAAAAGAGAACCGUUUUCUUGCCUCUUGUUCGUGUUAACCUCUAUUUUCACACUGCCAUCCCUCUCUCUCUCUCUCUUUUGUCCUGCUUGUAGCAAUAGACUUGCACUGAAUGGAUUGAUCCUUUUUCUUUGGUAUGAACAGAUAGAACAAAUGCCUGUUUUCACUCUCUCAUCUCAGGAACUGAUGCAUCAGUUCAGUCCUUGUUUUUGCCUCUUCCUUCCUGCUGGUGACAACAUAUGCUUAACUUCGGUUUCUGUAUAUUUUCUAUUGGGCCCCUUUUCAAGUGAUGGUGCAAAUGUUGACAAAUAUAAUAAAUUAUGAUGUGAAUUGAAAUACAAACUUCUCAGCAUUGUCUCAGAUUUAUUUUGUCAAUGAUGAAAUAACUAUAGUUCUAUAUGUGCACAUGUUGUUCUAGGUUGUAUCUUUUUCACUUGCAAAGCUCACCGAGCAAAGGUGGGAAAUUAUCGAGCUCUGUCCCACGUGUAAAAAAGCAUAUCGCUGCCAUAAGGCUAACAUCAUGUAUAGCUAUCCAUACAAUUACUAAAUUUGUGUAGCAAUCCGCCCCAUAUGAACAACUUAUAAAAUUACAUUUCCCUUCUUUAUGCUCCAUAGGGUGGGAGAAUUGAUUUGUUGCUCCAAUGGAGAAUAACAGCCGAGGGAUUUGUGCAGUUUGAUCUCAACAAGGUAAUAAUGUCGCUCCAAGCCUCCAACCAUGCCGGAACCAACCCCGCACGCAGGUUUGAAGUGACACAUGUAUGUCAUGGCAUGCAAUCUCUAGAUAUAUGUAUGUUAUUUUAAUUCUCAAUGUUAACCAUCUUUGUUUCUCCCCAAAUAUGUAUGUGUCAAGUUAUGCAAUUACAUACAACCUUUGACCGGGACUAAUAUUUUGAUCAAAUAUGUCCGGUCUAUAUUGAGGCAUUUUAAUUUUAAAACAUUCUCAUAUUUGUACCA